GAAAUAUUGGCCGGAAAGUACUGUAGCUGCCGGAAAAAUCACUGUAGGUCGCCGGAAAAAAACAAAGUUGUCGGAAUCGAACAAAAAGUGGAUGGGUAGGGUCGGAAUUAUAUUCUGACUAAACUGUCCUUCUGGAGCGAUCGGAAAAAAGUGGCCGGAAAGGCUCUCACGCGCCGGCGCGUGGGCUUCACGCGCCGAGGGUCCUGCCNNNN
rnacentral:lncRNA from 1 species